UGCAGCUCGCACCAGCUGCAAAACGAUGCGACGCAUGAGCUCCUACUAGCCUCCCUUUGACAGACCUCCCACUGGAGACUUCCGGAGUUCCCAGAGUGCAACAACGGAGGUGACCACGGAUAGCAGCUCGCACGGCUGCAGAUCGACGCAAUGCCAACGCAAUCAACAGCUCCAGUCAUAGCCUCCAACGUAGGGACUCAGGUGACAAGCAAUUGGCAACACAAAUAUUUGAUCGUGCUUGAUUGUGAAGAACUUGAUUAGCUAGCGACAUGUGCUUAUUGGAUUUCACAGUGGAGGAAAAACAUUUCUUUUACAGCAUCUUCAUCUUACAUGUCAUAGCAGCUCCUAGCAAGUCGACAUUACCUCCACUGCCAACAAGGUGUUCGACAAAAUGCCAAGCUCCCAGGUGUAUAGCAUACUUACUUUGUGAAGUGAGGAUAAUAUUGGAGCUUACUAUUUUUUUGAAGCCAUAUUGGAGCUUACUAUUAGUGGAUGGCAACUUAUGUCAACUUGAUUGUUUCGAGUGUUUACACUUGUGGACGAUGGAAAACCAAUACGAAAAAGGUGCAAGACGAGCAAGAAGACCUAUUUGUAUCAAAAACAAGAAAGCAAAAAGAAAAAUAUAUAAAAGAAUCAAGAGCAACGUCUUCAAUACAAAAUUUACUAAUGAUGUAAAUUCUACUUGCUAUUUGAUUUUUAUACAAUAUUUAGGAAACUGAUACUGUUAUAUCAAUCAAUUAAUCCUGGGUUCUUUUUGUUAGGUCCACAUAUAAUGCACAACUCUAAUCUUCAAAGGCUCCUCUUGCAUUGAAUUAUUCGAAGAAUUCUCAUGAUUUUCUAUGAAGCAACCUCUUCAAUUGUGAAAUUUUAUUUGUGUGACCAGGGAUGAAAGAUUAAAAAUGAAUCUAUCAAAAGUGGUAUGCUAAGUAGUAUAUCUAUAUCUGAAACUCUUGUAUGCUCCAACUAUUUAAUCAGCAACUGAAUAUCCACUGCAAGAUUGUAAGUACAUAAAUAAGCAUAAUAUGCUUGUACCCCAUCACAAAGUGGCACACUUGCCCAUCAGUGAGCGAGAGCGACAGAGGGAAGGGUGUG